rnacentral:rRNA from 1 species
AUUGAACGCUGGCGGCAGGCCUAACACAUGCAAGUCGAACGAGUGGCGGACGGGUGAGUAAUGUCUGGGAAACUGCCCGAUGGAGGGGGAUAACUACUGGAAACGGUAGCUAAUACCGCAUACCAUCGGAUGUGCCCAGAUGGGAUUAUAUAGUAGGUGGGGUAACGGCUCACCUAGGCGACGAUCCCUAGCUUGUCCGAGAGGAUGUCCAUCCACCCUGUAACUGAGUCACUGUCCCGCCUCCUACGGGCGUCAGCAGUGGGGAAUAUUGCACAAUGGGCGCAAGCCUGAUUCAGCCAUGCCGCGUGUAUGAGUAGGGCCUUCGGGUUGUAAAGUACUUUCAGCGAGGAGGCGUUACGCGCAGAAGAAGCACCGGCUAACUCCGUGCCAGCAGCCGCGUUAAUUG